CACCGCCGCGGUAAUACGUAGGUGGCAAGCGUUAAUCGGAAUUACUGGGCGUAAAGCGUGCGCAGGCGGUUGUGUAAGUCUGAUGUGAAAGCCCCGGGCUCAACCUGGGAACUGCAUUGGAGACUGCACGGCUAGAGUGCGUCAGAGGGGGGUAGAAUUCCGCGUGUAGCAGUGAAAUGCGUAGAGAUGCGGAGGAAUACCGAUGGCGAAGGCAGCCCCCUGGGAUGACACUGACGCUCAUGCACGAAAGCGUGGGGAGCAAACAGGAUUAGAUACCCGGGUAGUCCCUGUCUCUUAUACC
rnacentral:rRNA from 1 species